GACGAACGCUGGCGGCGUGCCUAAUACAUGCAAGUCGAGCGCAGGAAACUGACGGAACUCUUCGGAGGGAAGGCAGCGGAAUGAGCGGCGGACGGGUGAGUAACACGUAAGGAACCUGCCUCAAGGAUUGGGAUAACUCCGAGAAAUCGGAGCUAAUACCGGAUAGUUCAUCGGACCGCAUGGUCCGUUGAUGAAAGGCGCUCCGGCGUCACCUUGAGAUGGCCUUGCGGUGCAUUAGCUAGUUGGUGGGGUAACGGCCCACCAAGGCGACGAUGCAUAGCCGACCUGAGAGGGUGAGCGGCCACACUGGGACUGAGACACGGCCCAGACUCCUGCGGGAGGCAGCAGUAGGGAAUCUUCCACAAUGGACGAAAGUCUGAUGGAGCAACGCCGCGUGAGUGAUGAAGGUUUUCGGAUCGUAAAACUCUGUUGUAAGGGAAGAACACGUACGAGAGGAAAUGCUCGUACCUUGACGGUACCUUACGAGAAAGCCACGGCUAACUACGUGCCAGCCGCCGCUGUAA
rnacentral:rRNA from 1 species